GCAGGCGUAGUCUAGCUGGUCAUGACAAGGGCCUUCCAAGCCUUUAACCCGGGUUCAAAUCCCGGCGCCUGCACCA
rnacentral:tRNA from 2 species